rnacentral:tRNA from 1 species
GCAUCGGUGGUUCAGUGGUAGAAUGCUCAACUGCCACGCGGGCGGCCCGGGUUCGAUUCCGGACCGAUGCA